rnacentral:rRNA from 1 species
AUUGAACGCUGGCGGCAUGCUUUACACAUGCAAGUCGAACGGCAGCAUGGGCUUCGGCCUGAUGGCGAGUGGCGAACGGGUGAGUAAUGCAUCGGAACGUGCCCCGUCGUGGGGGAUAACUACGCGAAAGCGUAGCUAAUACCGCAUACGACCUGAGGGUGAAAGCAGGGGAUCUUCGGACCUUGUGCGAUGGGAGCGGCCGAUGUCAGAUUAGCUAGUUGGUGAGGUAAAGGCUCACCAAGGCGACGAUCUGUAGCGGGUCUGAGAGGAUGAUCCGCCACACUGGAACUGAGACACGGUCCAGACUCCUACGGGUGGCAG